GACGAACGCUGGCGGCGUGCUUAACACAUGCAAGUCGAACGGAAAGGCCCUGCUUUUGUGGGGUGCUCGAGUGGCGAACGGGUGAGUAACACGUGAGUAACCUGCCCUUGACUUUGGGAUAACUUCAGGAAACUGGGGUUAAUACCGGAUAGGAGCUCCUGCUGCAUGGUGGGGGUUGGAAAGUUUCGGCGGUUGGGGAUGGACUCGCGGCUUAUCAGCUUGUUGGUGGGGUAGUGGCUUACCAAGGCUUUGACGGGUAGCCGGCCUGAGAGGGUGACCGGCCACAUUGGGACUGAGAUACGGCCCAGACUCCUACGGGAGGCAGCAGUGGGGAAUAUUGCACAAUGGGCGGAAGCCUGAUGCAGCAACGCCGCGUGCGGUAUGACGGCCUUCGGGUUGUAAACCGCUUUCGCCUGUGACGAAGCGUGAGUGACGGUAAUGGGUAAAGAAGCACCGGCUAACUACGUG
rnacentral:rRNA from 1 species